rnacentral:rRNA from 1 species
GAUGAACGCUAGCUACAGGCUUAACACAUGCAAGUCGAGGGGAAACGACAUCGAAAGCUUGCUUUUGAUGGGCGUCGACCGGCGCACGGGUGAGUAACGCGUAUCCAACCUGCCCACCACUUGGGGAUAACCUUGCGAAAGUAAGACUAAUACCCAAUGACGUCUCUAGAAGACAUCUGAAGGAGAUUAAAGAUUUAUCGGUGAUGGAUGGGGAUGCGUCUGAUUAGCUUGUUGGCGGGGUAACGGCCCACCAAGGCGACGAUCAGUAGGGGUUCUGAGAGGAAGGUCCCCCACAGUGGAACUGAGACACGGUCCAAACUCCUACGGGAGGCAGCAGUGAGGAAUAUUGGUCAAUGGACGAGAGUCUGAACCAGCCAAGUAGCGUGCAGGAUGACGGCCCUAUGGGUUGUAAACUGCUUUUAUAAGGGAAUAAAGUGAGUCUCGUGAGACUUUUUGCAUGUACCUUAUGAAUAAGGACCGGCUAAUUCCGUGCCAGCAGCCGCGGUAA